UGGGGAAUUUUGGACAAUGGGUGAAACCCUGAUCCAGCCAUCCCGCGUGUGCGAUGAAGGCCUUCGGGUUGUAAAGCACUUUUGGCAGGAAAGAAACGUCAUGGGUUAAUACCCCGUGAAACUGACGGUACCUUCAGAAUAAGCACCUGCUAACUACGUGCCAGCAGCCGCGGUAAUACGUAGGGUGCAAGCGUUAAUCGGAAUUACUGGGCGUAAAGCGUGCGCAGGCGGUUCGGAAAGAAAGAUGUGAAAUCCCAGAGCUCAACUUUGGAACUGCAUUUUUAACUACCGGGCUAGAGUGUGUCAGAGGGAGGUGGAAUUCCGCGUGUAGCAGUGAAAUGCGUAGAUAUGCGGAGGAACACCGAUGGCGAAGGCAGCCUCCUGGGAUAACACUGACGCUCAUGCACGAAAGCGUGGGGAGCAAACAGG
rnacentral:rRNA from 1 species